AAAAGCUCGUAGUUGGAUUUCUGGUGGGAGCGGUCGGUGCGGUCCUCAGGAUUGCUACUCGUACCGUCUCUCGCCAUCCUUGGGUCGAUCCUGUCUGGCAUUAAGUUGUCGGGCAGGGGAUGCCCAUCGUUUACUGUGAAAAAAUUAGAGUGUUCAAAGCAGGCUUAUGCCGUUGAAUAUAUUAGCAUGGAAUAAUAAGAUAGGACUUUGGUACUAUUUUGUUGGUUUGCGCACCAAAGUAAUGAUUAAUAGGGACAGUUGGGGGUAUUCGUAUUCCGUUGUCAGAGGUGAAAUUCUUGGAUUUCCGGAAGACGAACUACUGCGAAAGCAUUUACCAAGGAUGUUUUCAUUAAUCAAGAACGAAAGUUAGGGGAUCGAAGAUGAUUAGAUACCAUCGUAGUCUUAACCAUAAACUAUGCCGACUCGGGAUUGGCGGUCGUUAAUUUUGACCCCGUCAGCACCGUAUGUGAAAACAAAGUCUUUGGGUUCCGGGGGGAGUAUGGUCGCAAGGCUGAAACU
rnacentral:rRNA from 1 species